UCGAUUUUACGUCAACUACAAGAUAGAGGACAAUUUGUCGUAUUAUCGAUGUGAAUAUUACGACAAGAUUACGACGAAAUAAAAUUCGUUCUUUAUUCGUCGUAAUAUCGUCGUAACAUUACGACGAUUUUACGAGGGUUAUUUUUUACGUCGGAUUUACGACGAAAUUUUCUAUCGUCGUAAAUACGACGUAAUGUCGUCGUAAAUUUACGACGACUACCAAUCGUCGUAAAUAAUUCGACGGAAAAGCCCCUCUUUCUUGUAGUGUCAAAACCGAUCAAUCCAAUGGCAUUUUAUAAAAGAAAAGGGGAAAUAAAUUCUUACAACCAGUUUCGAUAACACACAGAAAAGAAAACAGAGAGAAAAAAUAACUUGAAAAGCAAAUUACAAAGGGAGCUGGAAAUCUACUCAGCCGACCGAUCGUCAUUGUCAUCACGUUCUUGAUCAUCCGAGUUCAGGUUGCCACAAUCAGGAGUUGAGGGGCAGUCACGAGAGGUCUCACGAACCGGUUCAACCUGAGCGGUGGGGUUUUCGACGAUCACAAAAUCCUGAGGGAGAGGCAGCACAUCAAUAUCAUCAUCUUCGAGAUCGGUGACAGUCAUGACAUCGAGCUGUUGUUCAAACUUGGCCAUCGAUUCCUUCAAUUCACCGACCAUAUUGGCUAUAGUUACGUCCUUAUCCUCCUCGAGGAUCGAUAGACAUUCGAUGGUUCUUGCGCCUGAUUAUAAUCCAGGCGGACCUCCUCAACAGCUAGCCAAUCGUUCAGAUGGUUUCAAAACCUCCCAAGCCAUAUCGCGUAGUUCGCAUUAACCUCCCCCCAAGUCUUCUGCAUUUCCUCCCGAACAGCCUGAGAGAUGGACCUUUCGAAUCGUAGGGUCUCACUCGCAAGUUUCUCCUCUAGCUCGGCUCUUUUGGCGUCAACCUCUGCCUUCUCAGACUCGAGCUCUUUCUGCCUCUCAGUCAGAUGCAAGGCACUCUUCUCGAGCUUCUCCGACCUCUUGUGCUCUUUGCAAAGUCUCUUCACGGCUUCGUCCCACUUGCCGCUGACCUCUUUGACGAUUUGGUUGGCCGACCUUAGCUUCCGAUUGCUGUGGCCCCUUAGACGAUUGCAGCAUCCAAUAAACUGAAAAAGAAAGAAAAUGUCAAAGCGACCCAAUGAUAAACCAAAGAAAACGGCAAAGUUACUUCCAAGCAUUAUCCCUAUGGCAUAGCUUGCCAUAUCCUUGAAAACCUCGUCGACCUGGACAUCUUCGGACUCGCGGACCUCAGAAAUCAUCCCCCGAAUCCGCGAGAACAGCUCGGCGCAUCUGUCGCGUUGACAAAGGGUUGAUCGACCUGAUCAUAUAAAAAAACAAAGGGGUUAUUGAUCUGCUUGCCAGUGCUGGUUCGAGCCUUCUUGGCCGGCUCAGGAUUCUUAGACACCUCCGCAUCAUUGACUAACCUCUUAUUUUUCCCCUUAUCCUCAACCCCAGGAGCUGAUCAUGAGGAAGGAACGAUCUCAUCCUUCUUCUUUUUCCUCUUUUGCUUAUCCCCAUCCGGCUUAACUGACUUAAGGACUCUCUUUAGACCUGCACCUCUGGCCGAUCCACCUGGGUCUCCUCUGUAAUAACCCGUAUAGAGCAACUAGGCGGUCAAGUCAGUAUGGCAAGAUGAUCCGAUAUACGAUUGGUAAUUUUAGGACCGUUUAAGUGGGACUCUAAGUUUAGGGCUGAAUAUUAGGGAUAAAGGUAAGGUUAGAGGUCGAGAACGUUAAGUUUUAACAAUACAAGUUAGGUUUUGGUUUCGCGGGUGGAUCGGUUGGUCGUUUCGGUUUGAUCGGAGGGUCGGAAAAGGUAUUGGCUUAGGGAAGCUACUCGGUGACUCAGCUGUUGACUCAGCAGCCUGCCAGCUUGCUUGAGCUGCUUGGACACACGUCCAGCACACGCCAGGCACGCACUGGCUCACGCUCUUCACGCGCCGGCACACGUAUUUCAUACGCCGGCAUACGCCUUGCACGUGCCGGUGAAGCUUAUCCACGGAAGCACGACACAGCUGCUCGGGAAUCUUUCCGGAAGCACGACACAACUGCUCGGGAAUUUAGUUACCACCGCCCAUCUACCCCUAUAAAUAGGGCCUUGAACUUCAUUUUACAGCAGAGAGAAAACAGUAGCAAAGCGCUUUAAAAAAAUUUUCAACCACCGUGAACCGCCGCCGCUGACCACCGUGAAUCACCGCGAACCACCGUGUCGAGGGAAGUUAAGGUAGGUCGUUUAAGUUUAAAGUCUUACCUACCUAACUUAUUUUUCCAUCCUGAGUCUGAAUCUGACCUCCGCUUGGUACGGUUCUGGUCGGAUCUCUGUAAAAACUAAGUUGUGUAGGUGAACGAGGGGAUUAUCCGAAACCUUAAGAAACCAUAAUUUUCUCGGAAAGCCAAGGUGAGUCUCGGUGUGGGUUUGCUUGUUGUUUUACUGCAAAGCAAGUAGGGAUAUAUAUAUAUAUAUGUAUAUUUCAUGUUGUUUGCAAUAUGAAUCCACGGCACGUGCACUAACACAUAUUUUAGUGUCGUGUGGAUGAGAGAUGUGAGUUUGAUGCCAUGUGAUGCUUCCCUCAGCCAUGUGAUGUGAUGAGAUACCCGGGCUUGCGAGACGGAUAUGAGAAUGUUGAUGAGUGAUGCAUGAGAGAAGACAGUCGCGACUUUUUAGCCUGUGUGGCUGGAGUCCGAUUUGUGCAAAAUGUGAGAUUUUUUUUGGUGCGGGAUCUGGUCAAUGGCAUCUGAGGGAUUUGGCGUUUGAGUGUAUGUUGGAUGUAUGCAUGUAUAAUAAGUAUAUAUUAUCAUGCAUCUGAUGUGAGAUUAUUAUUGUUGUUGUGUGAUGCGUGUUUUGCGUGAUGUUUGGAGUUUUUGGGUUGUUGCUUGAAUGGUUAGGGGGAACCAAACUCACUGAGCAAUUAGUUGCUCAUGACUCUACUUGUUUUGCAGGUAACCAAUAGAAAUUAGCCGGGAUCAAAGGAGCUUAGGUCAGGUUGGUGUAGUUUGCUACCCUUUUGUAAAACAAGUAUAUGUUUAAUAUGUAUAAUUAUCUUUGCGCACUGAGCUCCCAGCCGGAUUGUAUAUGUAUUUUGUGGUGACCUUUUGAACUUUAGUAUUAUAUAAGUAAUAACGGUUUUGUGAAACUUGGGUUCUCAUAUGAUAUUAGUCCCUGUCCGGGACAAACCAACCAUCGAGCACGCCUCAGGUUGAAAAGCCUAGAGACGUGUCCAGUGGGAUAGCACGUGCGGUCUUGACCUUGGGCUCUUGGACGUGCAUGUUCUUGUUUGAUUGGUGUGCAGCUAAGAACCUCGGGCCAUCAGUCUUUGCGUGCAAAUGUAGCACCGUCAAUCCGGUUCAGUUCCGAACGGUUGGCCGUGCAUGUUCUUGUUUGAUUGUUGUGCGCCCGAUCAUUGCACUCGGAUCUAGACCAAGUCGGGGAUGUUACAUCCUCUGCUGGAGCAUACCCACCGAUUUCAUGUUGACCGAUCCCCUCCUGGGUAUUUCCUUGAGAAUCAACGAUCGGUUCACGAUCGACCAUCUCCUCGUCAAUCUUCUCAGUAGUCCUCCGACUAGAUCCCAACUUCGCCUUGAGUUUCAAAGCAAAACUCGGACCGCUCUUAUCAGCUUUGUCCAUGUCUGCGCUUGAAGCCGCUCUUGAGGUACUAAGAAAAUAUGACCAAUCAAACACUUAGAAACUAAGAAAGGACAGAGUCUGAAUUACCGAAAUCACUAACCACUGUUGAUACAAGCAAGGGAUUGUCUGAUCUACUGUAAGUGAAUUUUCGGCCACCAUCUUAUUCCUACUAAUCGAAUCAGAGCCAAUGAUUCCUGAAAGUUGUCUGGGAUGAAAGCACUCGCAGGAUGCAAAUCUGAAACGAAAAAAAGCCGAGUCAAUAAAAAAUGCUAAAGACAAGAACCGAUCAAUAGGAUAACCGAGGACUACCAUAGGUUUUGCUCCACUCAUUCCUAUACUCCCUAUCGGGAUCAACGCCCAGAAACGAGUUAACCUCGGCAUAAAAAUAAAGUUUUUCCCAAUCAUUCGUCUUACUAACAGGAACAAUCAGAGAAUGACCCCUUCUAGCACCAACGUAAAAUGUUCUGGGGCACUAGUAUUCCUACUGAUCUUCAUCAUCUCUUCAAAGAAUCAUAGGUCGACGUCAACUCCCACCUCGGCCCCGAAAACAAGAGCCGCCACCAUGUUGCGAAUCCCAGCCGGGGUUAUCUGAGAAACGGCAAUCCCACGAGCAUCACAGUACUUGAUCAAUAGCUUGGGAAUUGGAACCCAUAACCGACACUGAGUAAAAUAUGCUUCGUACAAGCAGAUCUAUCCCGGUGGCGCAUUCCACGGCCGAUCAUGGGAUGCAGGGACCUCAAACACCAGUCCACUCGGUAGCCCGCACGAGCUACGCAUCUUUCCCAGUGUCUCCUCCGAGCUACUCGAAGGGAUAUCUUCAAGUCGACUGAUCUUAGGCGCCGACCUCUUCUUGUUCUUCUUCUUCUUCUUACUGAUCCCAGCCUCUGCAUCCAAUUCUUCUUGGAGACGUUUAGCGGCCUCGCGAUCAUCCUCGGUCAGAAUCUCCAUCUCCAACUUGACCUAGGCGCUUAGCUCAUCAUAAUCGAUCGGUUCGUCGGCCAAAUGAGGAAUAUUGAAGGACGUAGGAGCCAAGCUAGGCCCAGCGUCGUUCCCCCGAGACCGAGCAGCAAGCGUUUCAUCAUCAGGCGCCGAACUAUUAGAGCUCGUAGUAUCACCUCCAGAAGAAAUCCUACUAUCAUCUCCGACCUCAACAUUUGCAGAUCUAGAAGGAUCAGACUCUUGUUUCUUGCGACAUUUUAACUAUCGAUCUAAUUAUGAAGAACCGCGAAGAACACAACGAUAACCACAAUGAAGAACAGCCCAGAAACCCAAGAACCCCUAAGCAGUUACGCCGCCAAACAAAAAGGAACACGGCGGAGGCUAAUCGGAGCAACAAAAACUAGACAAAUAAUUAAGAACGAUCUAAGGAAUUCAAGAGCGAGGAGAGAGAAAGUACCUUUUGAAAUCCGAAGAAAUGAGAAUGAUGGGUGGGAGCUUUGGACCAGAAUAUAUAUAUAUAUAUAUAUAUAGAGAGAGAGAGAGAGAGAGAAGGGAACGGUUUUCUAGGAAACAGUAAUGAUGACAACCUCGAGAUUAUCAAGGCGACUUUUCAGCUUCUGCCAGAAGCGAAACCCUAAUCCGUGAAGA
rnacentral:lncRNA from 1 species